UCUAAGGAAUAAAACGGAACCUACACAUCGGAGAAACUUUGUUUAGUUUUGAGGGGUUUACCCUCAGAGCUUGUACUUUGAAAACUAAAUACUAUCUAAUUUCUUUAUUAACAAAACAAUAAACCGAGAACACCGCGUUAUUUGAGUUUUAAUUAACGAAUUAUAAUCGCUAACCCAAUUAAUCAGACAAUCUUUGAUUGUUUAGGUUAAGUUAUGAAGGGCGCAUGGUGAAUGCCUUGGUACUAGGAGCCGAUGAAGGACGGGACUAACACCGAUAUGCUUCGGGGAGCGGUAAGUACGCUUUGAUCCGGAGAUUUC
rnacentral:misc_RNA from 1 species